GGUGCAUAUUGAUCCUUUUCUAUGUUUAGUUGAUGGUUAAAUUUAGUACUUAAGGACCGUCAACAAACUCCCCCAAGCUUACCUUUUGCUCGUCCCUGAGCAAACAACUAAACUCAGAUGGAUCAGGAGUUGCUUCGAUGUUUUUUUUCCUGACAGGCACACAUGCUUUCACAUAAAAAUUCUUCCAGAUUAGAGUGAAGUGUCAAGGGGCUUAGUACAUGCACUUGAGUCUUAAGUAAUCGAAAGACAAAAUAAUUAAGUCAAGCACUAUUCUGGGGUUUUGCAUAAGUUUUCAAAAAUAAAGCUCAGAGUUCCCAGCUAUGAUUCUCUCAUACAUAUGUUGUCUAAUCGAGCCAUGGAUCCAAAGGAACUCAGCAUAUAAUUAAAUCAAGAUCUGCAUGUGUGGUGGAGUAAAUGAUAGUGAUGGUAAAAAUGUAUAAGUGAUGAUAAAACUUACUUCUCAUUGCUCCUCAUAUUGCUAUCUCUCCUCCACUCUUGAUCUUUGCCUUGGGAGAACAUGGGCUAUUUUUUCAGGUAGGUAGUAAAUACCCCCUAAUUCCACUGUCGGACACUUGUCCAUUUUUCCUCUCCGGUGGGCAUCUUUGUACCCCUAAUUAUACUCUGGACACUUGUCUAUUUUUACCUCUCGUCUCACUCUUUUUUUCUUUCUUUUUUGAGGUUCCGGGCACUUGCCCCUUUUUAUUUCCUCGCAUAUUUUUGCAUAACCGUGUCUCUUCUGCAUUGAAUCUUUUUAGAGAGAGAGAAUAACAAUACUUGGGACAGUGAGUGAUAAUAUUUUUAGCAAUUUUUAUGAAUGGUGGUGGAUGGUGUAGUAGAUGUGUGCAAGUGAAUAUCUUAAUUUAACCACAUGAAAAGCUCCUAAGGGUCUACAUAGCUCGAUCAAACUCAAUGUGAAUAUAGUAAAAGAUAUUAUAGCAAGCAUGGCUAUGGUAGGAAUUUUGUCAUGCUAGGAACUCAUCAUGUGAUUUGCAAGUUUUCAAAAUAAAUCUCCAGAACUUAGUGUAGUAGGAACAAGAAUAACAGUAGC
rnacentral:lncRNA from 1 species